rnacentral:lncRNA from 1 species
AUGAGGAGGUUGGCUCACACCACCUAUGACGCAAUCCUCAGUGCUCCUGAACUCCUCGACUUGUGUCUCCCUGAAAAUCACUUUGCGGUGGAACUUAUCCUUCGAGGCCGGGCCAGGUGCAAGGCGCGAGAGGGCUCUGGACUAUGUGUGCGCGAGAGGUACCGCUCACCAGCCUCCUGCUCUCUGUCUUAGCACACAGUAGAAGAAAUUUGGCUUACCUCGAUGAAAGAGAGCUAUCAAAUACACAGAGAAGACAGCCUGAGUGAUCUUGUCCUAAGGUAAAUAUAAGCAUCAACAUAGGGAUUACAUUCAUUGAAAUCUAAUUAUUAUAUAGUUUUAAUAUCUCACUUAUAUAU